rnacentral:rRNA from 1 species
UACGGAAGGUGCGAGCGUUAAUCGGAAUUACUGGGCGUAAAGCGAGCGUAGGCUGUUAAAUAAGUCGAAUGUGAAAUCCCCGGGCUCAACCUGGGAACUGCAUUCGAAACUAUUUGACUAGAGUAUGGGAGAGGAAAGUAGAAUUUCCGGUGUAGCGGUGAAAUGCGUAGAUAUCGGAAGGAAUACCAGUGGCGAAGGCGCUUUCUGGAACAAUACUGACGCUGAGGUUCGAAAGCGUGGGGAGCAAACA